AGUUGCUCCUAUAAGUAGUCUAAAACAUCAAAAAUCUCUUCUGUUUGAGCUAUUAGAUUCUGUUUACACCAACAAUAAAAAAAGCGAGGCAGAUCAUCUUAAAGCCCUGUAAGUUGCUUUGCUUGUCUUCAAAACAUCUCCUUUUCCUUUCCUCCCAGACUGUCCACCAAAUGCAAGCAGAGACAAUUUUCUAUCUCUUUUCAAAACCAUUUUGAGUCCUGUUGUUCAAAACUGAGAAUAUCACUGUGCUGAUAUAAUGAUUGGCUAAGCUGCUCGGACUCUUCACUUUUG
rnacentral:misc_RNA from 1 species